rnacentral:rRNA from 1 species
GCGCAAUGGGGGAAACCCUGACGCACCGACCCCGCGUGAGCGAAGAAGGCCUUAGGGUUGUAAAGCUCUGUUUUAAGGGACGAAUGUCACCUUAAGUAAUAUGUAAGGUGAAUGACGGUACCUUAAGAGGAAGCCCCGGCUAACUACGUGCCAGCAGCCGCGGUAAUUAG